GACGAACGCUGGCGGCGUGCUUAACACAUGCAAGUCGAGCGGUAAGGCCCUUUCGGGGGUACGACGAGCGGCGAACGGGUGAGUAACACGUGGGUGACCUGCCCUCAGCUCUGGGAUAAGCCUGGGAGACCGGGUCUAAUACUGGACAUGACUCCAUGACGCAUGUUGUGGGGUGGAAAGCCUUGUGCGGCUGAGGAUGGGCCCGCGGCCUAUCAGCUUGUUGGUGGGGUGAUGGCCUACCAAGGCGACGACGGGUAGCCGGCCUGAGAGGGCGACCGGCCACACUGGGACUGAGACACGGCCCAGACUCCUACGGGAGGCAGCAGUGGGGAAUCUUGCGCAAUGGGCGAAAAGCCUGACGCAGCGACGCCGCGUGAGGGAUGACGGCCU
rnacentral:rRNA from 1 species